UCCAAGUCAUCCAGGAGGGUUGAAUUCACUUCUUUCAAACUCCUGUUCAAGUAAAUGUUUUGCCCUCCUGUCACGAAUCAUGAAUGGUUUUAAUGGCAUCUAGAAUAGUAAAUCUUUUUCAGAAGAUUUUCAAUUUUCUUUUCACAGAUUCUUCAGACCAAUCACUAUGGUAGCCAUAUAUUUAUGAAAUGUAUUUCCUGAACCAUAAAACAAGAACAUCAAAAUUACUCUAUGACCCAUGGGAAACAGAAUGCACGUUGUAUUAGCAGGCACGGAAACAGCAGUAAUCUGUUUCAGCCUCUCUAUAAGAAAGCUAUCAGAUUAGGUACAUUGCCAAAAGGCAGUCCUGUUGGGAAAAAGCCCCCCAAAAUCUGGCCAUAAACUGGCCCCAAAACUUGCCAUAAACAAAAUCUCUGCAGCACUGUGACAUGUUCAUGAUGGCCAUAACGCCCACACUGGAGGGUCGUGGGUUUAGGGGAAUGAGGGCAAGGAACACCUGGUCCACUCAGGGCAGAAAACUGCUUAAAGGCAUUCUUAAGCCACAAACAAUAGCAUGAGUGAUCUGUGCCUUAAGGACAUGCUCCUACUGCAGUUAACUAGCCCAACCUAUUCCUUUAAUUCGGCCCAUCCCUUCAUUUCCCAUAAGGAUACUUUUAGUUAAUUUAAUAUCUGUAGAAACAAUGCUAAUGACUGGCUUGCUGUUAAUAAAUAUGUCGGUAAAUCUCUGUUCAGGGCUCUCGGCUCUGAAGGCUGUGAGACCCCUAAUUUCCCACUUCACACCUCUAUAUUUCUGUGUGUGUGUCUUUAAUUCCUCUAGCGCCGCUGGGUUAGCAUCUCCCCGACCGAGCUGGUCCCGGCAUAGUCCUAUUUUCAAAAAAUUGUUUUUCUUUUGCUGAGCAGGACUUCUUAACAGUGGUCUUAAAAUAUUCAGUAAACCAUUAUUUAAGGAGAUGUGACUUAAAUAUCUAGGAUUUCUUGCUUUAUUUAUAGAACACUUGCAUUGUAGAUGUAGCUUAAAUCUUAAGGGCCCUAGGAUUGUUGGAAUAGUAAAUGAACAUCAUACUUAGGAAUAUAGAUAGCCAGGGAGGGGAAAGAUCUCUACAAGAAAAAUUUAAAAACUACUCAAAGAAAUCAGAGAUAACACAAUUGACAAAACAAGUACAGGGGCAGCAAAAGGUAACAGAUGCCAACUAUGAGAUCUCAUCAAGAACUAAGAAAAUGGACAAAAGUACCACAUAGCAGAUGGGAGGCGGUGUUAGCAUGCCUCUCCCACUUUGAAGGACAGAUUAGUAUGUAGAGAUUUACAUUGUGAAUUUUUUUUCAAGAACUGAUGCAGGAACUUAACACAAAAACCAAAAAAAGAAUAAAAAUCCACAUACACUUUGAAGAAGAAGCGGGCACCAGCCUACUCCAUGAAACAAGCAAAAAACGUCACAGCCCCACAUUGUGAGGGGAGAUAGUCCACUCCAGAGCACACAUCCCCACUGGGAAUCUGGAAAUUCAGGCCACAAGAUAAGGCUUUGAUCCUAUGCAGAGUGGGAAUGGAUUUAGUGAGCCAGUGAAAUAUACAAAUAGAAGCAGCAGGAGUGUGAACUCAGGGAAGCCAUUCCUGACUACAUGUCACAGGGACCCUUGGCGAAGUCAGCUAAUGAGCUCAGAGAGGGAUCACAGGGUAAAAGAAGCUCCCAACUGAAUUUUGUGAUAUAAUCUCAAGUGAGGACACGUGCCCUUGAGCAGAACCCACAGGGGAGAGCUGGAAGUGCAUUGCAGACAUGAGCGCAGAAGCUGGGUGUCCAGCCUUGUGGGCAGACCAGGAAGGACGUGGCCUGAAAGCCAUGGUUAUUCUCUCUGUGGGAAAGCUGAUGACCUGGAGCUUGUCUGAGUUCUGUGCACAGAUUGCUUGGAUGUAAACCUGGCACUGUUAGCAGAGCAUUACAGGAAUGAAAGGAAUGAAAACUGCCUUGCCAACUCCAUGCGUGCUGGGUGAAGCUCGCUGCCACCCAUUACUUCCCACUCCCUUUGUGAACUCUUCUGUGCAGCAGAG
rnacentral:lncRNA from 1 species